UACGGAAGGCAGCAGUGGGGAAUAUUGCACAAUGGGCGAAAGCCUGAUGCAGCUAUGCCGCGUGUAUGAAAAAGGCCUUAGGGUUGUAAAGUACUUUCAUCGGGGAGGAAAAAACAAAACUAAUAAUUUUAUUUCUUGACGUUACCCGAAAAAGAAGCACCGGCUAACUCCGUGCCAGCAGCCGCGGUAAUACGGAGGGUGCUAGCGUUAAUCAGAAUUACUGGGCGUAAAGAGCACGUAGGUGGUUUUUUUAAGUCAGAUGUGAAAUCCCUGGGCUUAACCUAGGAACUGCAUUUUGAAACUGAAAUACUAGAGUAUCGUAGAGGGAGGUAGAAUUCUAGGUGUAGCGGUGAAAUGCGUAGAUAUCUGGAGGAAUACCUGUGGCGAAAGCGGCCUCCUAAACGAAUACUGACACUGAGGUGCGAAAGCGUGGGAAGCAAACAGGGAUUAGAUACC
rnacentral:rRNA from 1 species